rfam:Naematelia encephala strain 68-887.2 BCR39scaffold_24, whole genome shotgun sequence.
GCCCUGAUGGCCAAGUUUUGGUAAGGCGUUCGUCUCGUAUUACGUAAUCAUGCGGUGAACGAAAGAUCCACGGUUCGAAUCCGUGUCAGGGCA